rnacentral:rRNA from 1 species
CUCCAGUUGAUCGCAUGGUCUUCUGGGAAAGCUUUCGCGGUAUGGGAUGGGGUCGCGUCCUAUCAGCUUGACGGCGGGGUGACGGCCCACCGUGGCUUCGACGGGUAGCCGGCCUGAGAGGGCGACCGGCCACAUUGGGACUGAGAUACGGCCCAGACUCCUACGGGAGGCAGCAGUGGGGAAUAUUGCACAAUGGGCGCAAGCCUGAUGCAGCGACGCCGCGUGAGGGAUGGAGGCCUUCGGGUUGUAAACCUCUUUUAUCGGGGAGCAAGCGAGAGUGAGUUUACCCGUUGAAUAAGCACCGGCUAACUACGUGCCAGCAGCCGCGGUAAUACGUAGGGUGCAAGCGUUAUCCGGAAUUAUUGGGCGUAAAGGGCUCGUAGGCGGUUCGUCGCGUCCGGUGUGAAAGUCCAUCGCUUAACGGUGGAUCCGCGCCGGGUACGGGCGGG